rnacentral:rRNA from 1 species
UACAGAGGGGGCAAGCGUUAUUCGGAAUUAUUGGGCGUAAAGGGCGCGUAGGCGGCCUGACAAGUGGAAGGUGAAAUCCCUCGGCUUAACCGAGGAACUGCCCUCCAAACUGUUGUCUUGAGGCCGGGAGAGGUGAGUGGAAUUCCCAGUGUAGCGGUGAAAUGCGUAGAUAUCGGAAGGAACAUCAGUGGCGAAAGCGGCUUCCUGGACCAACACUGACACUGAUGAGCGAAAGCCAGGGGAGCAAACGGG